CCUACGGGUGGCAGCAGUGAGGAAUAUUGGUCAAUGGACGAGAGUCUGAACCAGCCAAGUAGCGUGAAGGAUGACUGCCCUACGGGUUGUAAACUUCUUUUAUAUGGGAAUAAAAUGUUCCACGUGUGGGUUUUUGUAUGUACCCUAUGAAUAAGGAUCGGCUAACUCCGUGCCAGCAGCCGCGGUAAUACGGAGGAUCCGAGCGUUAUCCGGAUUUAUUGGGGUUAAAGGGUGCGGAGGUGGAUUGUUAAGUCAGUUGUUAAAGUUUGCGGCUCAAACGUAAAAUUGCAGUUGAAACUGGCAGUCUUGAGUACAGGAGAGGUGGGCGGAAUGCGUGGUGUAGCGGUGAAAUGCUUAGAUAGCACGAAGAACUCCGAUUGCGAAGGCAGUGCACUGGCGUGCAACUGACACUGAUGCUCGAAAGUGUGGGUAUCGAACAGGAUUAGAUACCCUAGUAGUC
rnacentral:rRNA from 1 species